rnacentral:lncRNA from 1 species
UUUUUUAAGACAUUGUCUCUUCUCCAAAAAAACAACCCAAAAAAAAACCUCUUCAUUUUGUCCAACGGUGUGGGCAUCCAUAAAUGACACACAAACUGUAUUUUAUAUAUACAUAUUCUUAAAUCGGCGAGUAGAAUUUCAUCUAUGUAAUUAUGUGAAUUAAUUAUCAAUUAUGUGGCAAGCAUACGAACGUAUCGACGAAUUGUAUCCAUAAUUAUUCAAUCCUACGUAUAUUCAUUGUUUGGACUUGUAUUGUGAAGUAGGAGUUAGCUAGAGAAAUAAAAUAUAAACAAAUAUUUA